UACGAAGGGUGCAAACGUUGCUCGGAAUUAUUGGGCGUAAAGCGCACGUAGGCGGCUUGGCAAGUCGGAUGUGAAAUCCCUCGGCUCAACCAAGGAAGUGCAUCCGAAACUGCCGAGCUUGAGUACUUAAGAGGAUCGCGGAAUUCCCGGUGUAGAGGUGAAAUUCGUAGAUAUUCGGAAGAACACCAGUGGCGAAGGCGGCUCACUGGACUGGUAUUGACGCUGAGGUGCGAAAGCGUGGGGAGCAAACAGG
rnacentral:rRNA from 1 species